rnacentral:sRNA from 19 species
ACACAAGGAAGGAGGUGGUCCGACAAAUUGAUUGCUUAUGGGACAUGUGAGGUGGCUGCCCGCUAGCUGCAGCCAUGCGCUGCGGUGGGCAAAUCCACGGCAGCCACCCGGCCCCCGAACCCUCGAUGAGUCCGAUCGAGCCGAACGGUUCGGGGGCCGCCCCUU